UCGUUCGUUCGUUCGUUCGUUCGUUCGUUCGUCCGUCCAUUCGUUCGUUCGGUCUUAAGCGAACUGCAGCACGUGUCUUAUCGUCGAACACUUCUAAUCGAUUGGACUAAGUACUUAUACGAAGAAAUUUUCGAGUUUCCCAAAGAAUCACUAUGAAUUUCCGACUGCUUGACGUUAACCAUUAUCAAAGUUGGAUAACAUAACUUAGUUCGUUGAAAAAAAAAAAAAAGAAAAAAAAAAACAAAAAUAAGGCGAGGCAGAUGGAUGGUUGGAUCGUUAUUUGCAAGAUGGUGUCGGCCAUAUUGGUCACGUGACAUCGUGUACAUGGGAUGCGUAAUAGAAAGAAAGAAAGAAAGAGAGAAAGAAAAAAAAAAACAACACGCAAGUACGUGCGUACACACGCAUACGUACGCGACACGGCGACGUACGUACACGUAAAAAGAAAGAAAGACAAAAAACUCGUUACGUCCUCUUGUUCCGUGCUUGCAUGUGGGUGGUUACGUGAGUGAGUGCGUGCGUGCGUGCGUGCGUGCGGCGUGCGUGCGUGCGUGAGUACGUGCGUGCAUGUGGCGCGUGAAUGGGAACGCGUGAGUUCGAGGAAGAAAACAAACGAAUCGAUCUUUCCUAAGCGUUUUUGUCGAACGCGAUUGGUAAAAGUAUUUGGUAGGAUCGUCGACGCGACAUUUCAAAGUAUACAGCAUGUAUGUAUAUAUACGUAUGUAGAAAACGUGCCUUGUAAACUACUGUUAUUUGAAGAAAAGGAACGAAUUUCUAACGUUCAAUUUAUAUACGUAGGGAGGCAUGUAUAUACAGGGUGUCCCGUCCUCCGUACCAUUUGAUAUUUCGCAGACAAUUAUAUUCGUAAUAAAUGGUAUUAUAAAUUGUUUCAAGAAAUUCGUUUCAAAUAAUUAACUUAUCCUGUAUUGGGAGUGUGAUUGCGGGUGGAAGAGGAGAACGAAUCUUCUCUAGGUGAACGUGCCUCGAUUAAUAAUAAUUCAAGAUAAUUUCAAGCUGACCUUUUCCUAUAUUUAUUUAAGCUUGUUAGCUCAUCAUUAUUAUUAUUGUUAUUAUUAUUGCUAUUAUUAUUAUUAUUAUUAUUAUUAUUAUUAUUUCGAGGCAUGAUCCAUUGACACCAUAACACCACUUUGGUUUUUUACAGUUUGAUAGUACAAAGCUCCGUAUAAGAAGUAAAAACAAAAUUAAAAAAGAAAGACAAAGGUCACCUUGAGAGCACGUUCAACGAAGAGAAAAUAUGUGACUACCGUUUCCUCCUCUAUCCUCCAUCACCCUCCUUACGGAAACGAGUCGUAUUAUUUGAAAAAAAAUUUUCCAAACGAACUUGCAAUUUGGGAAAUAAUUGCGUGAGAAAUUUCAAAUGGGACACCCUGUACACACACACACACACACAUAUUUCGCGAGCAACGUUAACUACGUUUUGGCACGUGACAGGAAACUUAAAAUGCUUUGAUUACGUUCAAGGAACGUUAACGAGAAUUCUACUUUAUUUUUUCUUUUUUUUCUCUUUUUUUUUCUUUCUGUUUCUUUUUCUUUUCCUUUUUCUAUCGGAAAUACUACUUUUCCUGUGUUCAAAAAGGUCAAAAUGAUCGUUGAGAUUAAAUUAGAAGGGAAAUUACGAUUACGUGAUAUCACGGGCUCUUGAAAGAGAAAAAAAGAGAGAGAGAGAGAGAGAGAGAGAGAGAGAGAGAGAGAGA